CAAAAAUAAACAUUAAAAAAUUUGUAUAAUAAUGAUGACAGUGCUAUUCUAUUAAUACCUAUUUGGGGGUGCUGGGGGUGGGGGGGGGGCUCUUUCUAUAUACCAAACCCUGGCUGAGCCUUUACAUUCACUGUCUCAUUUAAUACUUACAAAAUUGCAAAUAGAUCUAUAUCUUAUUGAUCUCUAUUUUAUGGGUAGAAAAUCAAAUUUCAGAGAAGUUAAGUAUUUGAACUAAUAUCACACCUCUAAUAAGAUUGAAGAACUAAGAUUCAGACUUAUCUUUAGUUCCCAGAACCUAUGCUCCAAUCAACCAAAUACAGAUAAGCAGUAUUAGUAAGAAACAAUACAUUUUGCAUAAUAAAGAUAAAAGACCAAGUAAACAAAGAUGAGCCUGAUGUAAAGUUUGAACAUGAAAUGUAAACUGUCAAGUGAUACACAAAAAGCAUUAUUUUGACUCUAAGUUUCCAACUAGUAAAGAAGAGAAAAUUGUUUCUUAAAAAUCUAUAGCAUCCACAAGGUAAAAAACAAGACAAAAGCAAACAAGGAAACAAAUCAAAAGCCAAACUCUGCUCAAGAGAGAAUAAGCAUCAUUAAUAGUAACAAAGAAUGAACAGAACCUAAAUCAUUUCCUAUAAAACUAGUGAUACUUAGGUCUAUAUUUGAAUCUGGAUACAUAAGGCAGAAUUUUCAGGAACUGUAAGAAAAGGGAAAUGGGAGACAAAAUUUUUCUUAGGCUGGAAGGAAAGAUAACCUUCAUGUAGGAAUCUCAUUUUUCACCUCUAGCAGCCUAUCUCUACAAUUACUUUAUCAAUUAUAAUUCCUCAUUGCUUAUCUUGUCUGUCUUCCAGGCAGAAGAAAAAGAAAGAACAAGGUCAUUUCUUUUGUUCUUCUACUUCUCGUCUCUUUAUUUUUCUUUUAGAACAGAGAGAAAGUUGAAACAACAGCUUCACUUUCUUCUCUAUGAUCAAAGUAAUAAAUAAACUAGUGAGUUAGAGACCAAGUGGCCUCUUUAUUACAAGAAUAUGAACAUAUAAGGUCAUGAAAAUGACUGCUUUGAUGAUAAUUAUAAAAACAGUAAUGAUUUCUUUGGUUCAUAAAACUCACACAUCCAUAGUUGUAUUCAUCAUAAUUGUUGCCUAAUCCCAAUGAAUGGUUCAAGCCAAAAAUGAAGACUGUCUUUCCCAUCUCCCUCUCUAUGAACUUCCACAUUGUAUCAUUUCCUAUUACUUUGACUUUCUGUCUAUGCCUUAAAUCUAUCCAUUCUCUCCCUCUCCAUUCCAACCCUUGUUUAGGCAACCAUCAUUUUUCAUCAACUAUGAUAAUACUUUCCUAAUAUAUGUGCUCCUCCCACCUAUCAGUCCCCACUCUGCAGUAAGAGGCAAUGUGUUUGAGAUGCAUGUUGAUCAUUCCACUCUUGUAUUUAAAAACCUUUUGGUAGUUUUCCAUUGAGCCUAAAAUAAAGCCCAUAUUCAUGACCAUGGUUGAGAAGGCUCUGUAUCACUACCCCGGUCUACAUCUCCGGCCUCAUCUUACAGCACUCUCACUCUUGACUCGUGCUACAGUUUGCUCUUGGGUCCCUGAAUGGGACAGGGAAACUUCCUCCUGGUAGCCUUUUGCUCCAAAAGAGAUCCAGUCCCUCUGCUACAUGCUCCUGCAGCCCUCAGGGUAUCAUCUCUGUAGCCUUAACCACCAUUGUAAAUAACUGUUUUGGUAUUACUUGCUUGUUAUCUGCUUUAUCUCUUUCCUAGAGUCACCAUGAGAGCAAGGAAAACCAGUAUCUUAUUUACCACUGUAUCUUCAGAAUUGAGCAUGAGUACCUGGCCUAUAGUAUACACUCAACUGUUUGCAUAAACAAAUGAAUAAUAAGAAGUCAAUCAAAAGUAAAAUAUGAGUUCACUAUCAUGACAGCAUACACAACAAACUGUUUUUCUCUAAAUAAGUAGAUUGUGUGCCUUCCCCAAUACCUUUUGCUAGUUCUCUUGGUAGCCAAUAGCAUGCUUUUACAAAGUGACACAUAUUCAGGAUGACUGCCUUGAUUUGUGUUAGUCAACUGCUAUGACACUUAGUCAAGGAAAUUGGCCCAUACGUUGUUUAAACCCAUACUUACCUGCCACUAAAUCUGUGCUGGAUUUUUUUUUUUCUUUUCCUUUUUUUUGCUAGAAGAAAAGAAAUGAAACUGCCCUGAAUUUUCAGUCCUCGUUCUCAGCAUUUGAUCUCUGAGUAUGAUCUCAUGACAGGGUGCACAGCUGACCCCUGAAGAAUAAAGAAAAGUCUACAAAUGUUAAAAAUCAAAAGAAAGCACUUAGAAUUUCAUCAUAUUGAAACUAGAAGAGAUCCCUCCACCCUCCAAAACCUCCUAGUCCAACCUCUCUGCUCUAGAGGAAAUAAAAAGAUGUAACAAAGGGAAGAAGCUUACUUACUGAAGGGAAUAUAGUGAGUUUAGUGGCCUGGGUGAUGUUAGAACACAAGUUUUCUAACCAUCUACUGUCUCUCUUUCUCUCUUAGUAGGCACUAUCCAGUAGCACUCUCUGUAAUGCUGGAAUUGUUCUAUGGCUGUGCCAGCCAAGAUGGCAGCCACUAUCCACAUGUGGCUAUUAAGGACUUGAAAUGUGGCCGGUACAACCGAGGCAAUGCAUUUUUAAUUUAAUUUAAUCUUAAUUAAUUUCAAUUUAAGUAGACACAUACGGUUAGUGGAUACUGUAUUGGAUAACACAGUUCUGGAAUGUGCCAGCUAGGUCAAGGAAAAUAAAACCAGUAACAUCAAACAAUUUUCUAUUAAACUGGAAGACCUUGAAUUACCUGAUAGUAACCUUUCAGGACCGGGAUAACAAAGAAAGAAGGAAAUAAGAUAUGCUUGGUUUCAGUUAAUGGAAAACAACAACAAUUCAAGCUACGAUGCAUAAUAAAGAAGAUGAAUGAUUUCUUUUUUAUAAUUUUUUUUUGUUACGUUUAUUUUUGAGAGAGACAGAGAGUGAGUGGGGGAGAGGCAGAGAAAAAGAGGGAGACACAGAAUCCAAAGCAGGCUCCAAGCUGUAAAUAGAGACUGACGCGGUGCUUGAAUUCAUGAACCAUGAGAUCCUGAGUGGAAGUUGGACACUUAAUCCACUGAGCCACCCAGGUGUCCCAAAAAUGAAUGAUUUCUUAAAGGUUGAGAGUUCACAGUAGUGCAUCCUACGGCAGGCUCUCCACAAUGGAUCAAGCAUAGCUGCCCACAGCUGUCUCAGUUAUGAGCUUCUUCAUCCACAUAAUGGCAACAGAAAGAACUGUUUUGAUUUCUGUCAGAUGAGCAAGGAAGUUUCUUUUUCAGCUUCCACUAGCAAACCACUUCUCGUAUGGCUUUAAUUUAACUUGGGUCACUUACUGCUCCUGGUAAUCAAUGCCUUGAGCCAGGUACAUUGCUUGGCCGAGGGAAAAAAGAUCAUAUUGCUAGGCUUAGAGCCACACCACACUCUCCAAGCCCAAAUCAAGAAAGAAAUCAGUUUCUGCCAGAAGAGUUGCAUGGAGUGAGAGUACCCCAAUCCAUCCACAUCUGAUUGGAUCAGGAAAAUAAAACACCUAACUCAAAUAAGCAUCAACCAUAGUUUGGCCACGGAUCUGGAAAUGAAGAGAAAAGUGCAGUUUCCAGAAGUUCCGAGAUCCAUUCUUAGAGCCAUGCUUGGAGCCCAGAGAUUGGCGCUUAGAUAUUCAAGUAUUUGUUGAAGGAAUGAAUGAGUGAAUGAAUGAACAGAGGCUUCGUGACUUCAAGAGACCUCAGUGUAGGAGACUUUCACUCUAUGUCUUGCUUUCACCAAUUAUGCUACAGAUACCUGUCCAUUGCCUGGUUUGUGAUUGCCAGUUUAUUUAUUAACCUAACAAAAUCUCCACCCCAAAGCUUCCCUUGGAUCUUUCCCCCUUAUUGAAAAAUCUGUGUCCACCCACAAGCUUACCAUUAGUUUCAGAAUGAAUUUCCUCUCAUGAUAGUUUGAUACUAUUUUCUCCAUACCUAGCCUCCAAGGGAUAAAGGGGUGGGGGGAACCAGAGAUUGCUUUUUUGUGCUUUAAAUUAAAGAUAAAUCAUCAGACUUCUUAAAAAUUAAAUUUAAUAGUCUAUCAUUUUCAUUCAUACAAAAAAAUAUUUUUUGAGUUCCUACUGUGUGCCAGGUAUAAGAGCUGUGGAUACUCUGAGGAUGCAAACCAACCAGACAAGAAUCCUUGACCUUGUAGAACUUAAAUUCCAAAGGAGGGAGCCAGUAGUGAGCCAAACAGACAACUAAAACACAGGGUGUAUUAGGAGGUGAUAAACAGCAAGAAAAGAAACAAAGAACAGCAGUGGGAUAGGCAGUGAUGAGGGCAGGGUGCAAUUUUUAAUGGAUAGGGUGCUUAUGGGUUCCAUUACAGCCCAUCACAAAGGUACACUGAAGUCCUAACCUCCAGUAUUUCAGAAUGUGACACGAUUUAGAAAUAGUCUUUGCAGAUGUCAUUAGUUAAGAUGAGGUCAUGCUGGUGUGCACUUUGUAAUGGAAGCCCUAGGAAACUAACAUAGUGGAGGGGCUGGGAGAAUCCCUCAACUGUGAGGAUGACAUCUAAGAAAAGACUUGAAGUUGGUGAUCAAGCCACAUGUGUGGCUAUCUGGGGGAAAGGGAACAAAAACUUCAAAGGCAAAGCAGUAGGAGCAGACUUAGUAUAUUCAUGUGGCUACAAGGAGGCCACAGUGGCUGGGGUAGGGUGAGGAGAGGGGGUAUAGUCAAUGAAAUCCAAGGGUAAUGAGAUCUAAAUACCAUAGAGUCUUAUAGCACAGUAGUGCUCAAACUUUAGCUGGGUAUCAUAAUUACCUGAUGGACUUGUUAAAACAUAGAUUGCUGGGCCCACCCCUAGACCCCCAGACUUUCUGAAUAAGUAGAUCUGGGGUCAAGCCUAAGAAUAUGCAUGUCUAACACAUUUCUGAAGCCGAUAUUUUUGGUCCAGGGACCAUCUUUGAGAAGCAUGGUUGUGGAGCAUCAUAAUGACUUAGAUCUUUGUUCUGAGUUAAGAUACAAGCUAUUACAAGGUCAAAGCAGAGGAGUGACAUGAUAUGACCUCUAUUUUAGCAGGAUACUGUGUUCAUGGGUUGGGAAUAGGCUCUAAGAGGUGACAGGUAGAAGCAGAGAGACCAGUUAUGACAUUAUUGAAAUAAUGUGAAGCAUGUAUUUAAAAGUUGAUAUGAAAAAUUAACAACACAAAAAAGAGCAGGUGUUGGUGAGGAUGUGGAGAAAGGGGAACCCUCGUAUAUUGUUGAUGGGAAUGCAAAAUAGUGCAACCACUCUAGAGAACAGUAUGAAGGUUCCUCAAAAAGUUAAAAAUAGAACUACCCUAUGAUCCAGCAAUUGCACUAUUAGGUAUUUAGCCAAAGGAUAGAAAAAUACAGAUUCAAAGAGGUACAUGCACCCCAAUGUUUAUAGCAGCAUUAUCAACAAUAGCCAAGCUAUGGAGAGAGCCCAAAUAUCCAAUGACUGAUGAAUGGAUGAAGAAGAUAUGAGAUACACACACACACACACACACACACACACACAAUGGCAUACUACUUAGCCAUCAAAAAGAAUGAAAUUUUGCCAUUUGCAAUGAUGUGGAGGGAGCUAGAGUAUAUUAUGCUAAGGGAAAUACGUCAGUCAGAGAAAGAUAAAUACCAUAAGAUUUCACUCAUCUAUGGAAUUUAAGAAACAAAAUAGAUGAACAUAUGAAGGGGGAGAGAGAGGGAAACAAACCAUGAACAACUCUUAAAGAGAACAAACAGGAUUGAUGGAGGGAGGUGGGUGGGAGAUUGGCUAGAUGGGUGAUGGGUAUUAAGGAGGGCAAGUAAAUACAAACUGGGUGUUGUAUGUAAGUGAUGAAUCACUGAAUUCUACUCCUGAAACCAAUAUUUCACUGUAUAUUAACUAACCAGAAUCUAAAUAAAAAAUUGAAAAAAAAUAAAAGUAGAUAUCACCUAGUAUGUGUUACAUAUGACCCAGGGUUUUUUUGGAGAGGGCAGGAGCAUGUGGGUUAGUCCACAGAAAAUGAAUAUAUAACUAAGAGACCUAAGUUACCUGGUGCCUUGAGAGCUUGGCAUUCUUAGAGGACAACUCUUAUUUAAUAUGAGUUAUAUUACCUCUGAGCAGCACUACCUUCCCUCUUGUCACCUCCAUGCACAGCCAAUUCAGCAAUCAAGGCCAUGUCACAUCUUGAAAUUUUUAAUGGGCUCUGUAGGCCAUCCACUGGAGUUUUGAAUUCUUGGAUUGCUUUUAAAAGAGAAAAAGGUCUCUUUCCUCCAUCCUAACACCAACCCAGAAUUCUUUGAAUUUUAAGAGUUUUUGCUUGAGUAGCUAAUGAGGACUCUAAUACAUAUGUCCUGUUAAGGCUCUCAGAUCAUUCCCACAAUGACCUUUAAGAAGGUCCUAAAAUAGAUUAGAAUAUAUGUAUCUUUUUAUAUAAAGCCUAAACCUUACAGUGGAAGAAAUUUCAAAUGUGAAGAAUGAAACAAAAUACUAGGGUUAAUAAUGACCAAAAAGUAAUAUUUAGAAGGAAUAAUACAUCCAACCUUUACAGAGCAUUUGAUUUCUAUUAUCACAUUCUUUUUUCACUCAGUGUGUGCUCUCACCUUCCUAUUGAUCUAUCAUCUUGACAAGACGCUCAUAACAUCUACCCAGACUGCUUCAAAACAUAAUGGUUUUAUUUCUUGACUGUUUGAAAGACAUUUUUAUUUUGUAAUUGUUUUUUUAAAGACCUUGACUUAAAAAAUGAAGUCUUUUUAAAUAACCAGAAUCCUGGAGAAAGACAUAGCCUUUCUGCUGCAAGAGAAAAAGUGAAGCAUCCUCAAAGUCUUAUCUAGACCAAUGGAAUGCUGACAUACUCUAUCAUUAGCUAUGUGACCCUAAGGUAGAAAUUAACUUCUGUUUUUCAGCGUCCAUAUCACUAAGUUAAGGGAGUUUGGACCAAAUCGUGAAGGCCCUAGGAAGCUGGAGAAUUUGCUGAUUUAAACUGUACCAUUGUAGCCUAGAUUUAUUUUGGCUUAAAAAAAAAAGGGAAGGGGCACCUGGGUGGCUCAGUCAGUUGGGUGUCCGACUUCGGCUCAGGUCAAGA